rnacentral:rRNA from 1 species
AACGCGAAGAACCUUACCUGGGCUUGACAUGUACUGGAAGAGUGGCAGAAAUGUCCUCGCUCGCAAGAGCCGGUACACAGGUGCUGCAUGGCUGUCGUCAGCUCGUGUCGUGAGAUGUUGGGUUAAGUCCCGCAACGAGCGCAACCCUUGCCUUUAGUUGCCAGCAUUAAGUUGGGCACUCUAAAGGGACUGCCGACGUUAAGUCGGAGGAAGGUGGGGAUGACGUCAAGUCCUCAUGGCCCUUAUGUCCAGGGCUACACACGUGAUACAAUGGUGGUCACAGAGUGAAGCAAUGUCGCAAGACCUAGCAAAUCACUUAAAAGCCAUCUAAGUUCAGAUUGGAGUCUGCAACUCGACUCCAUGAAGGCGGAAUCGCUAGUAAUCGCGGAUCAGAACGCCGCGGUGAAUACGUUCCCGGGCCUUGUACACACCGAUAGC